rnacentral:rRNA from 1 species
UACGGGGGGAGCAAGCGUUGUUCGGAUUUACUGGGCGUAAAGGGCGCGUAGGCGGCCACCGCAAGCCAGUUGUGAAAUCUCUGGGCUUAACCCAGAACGGUCAGCUGAUACUGCGGGGCUAGAGUGCAGAAGGGGCAACUGGAAUUCUCGGUGUAGCGGUGAAAUGCGUAGAUAUCGAGAGGAACACCUGCGGCGAAGGCGGGUUGCUGGGCCGACACUGACGCUGAGGCGCGAAAGCCAGGGGAGCAAACGGG